UACGUAGGAUGCGAGCGUUGUCCGGAAUUAUUGGGCGUAAAGAGCACGUAGGCGGUUUGUUAAGUUUGGGCUUAAAGACUGGGGCUCAACCCCAGGAGUGGCUCGAAAACUGACAGACUAGAGGAUGGCAGAGGAAAGUGGAAUUCCCAGUGUAGCGGUGAAAUGCGUAGAUAUUGGGAGGAACACCAGUGGCGAAAGCGACUUUCUGGGCCAUUCCUGACGCUGAGGUUCGAAAGCUCGGGGAGCAAACAGG
rnacentral:rRNA from 1 species